UACGAAGGGUGCAAGCGUUACUCGGAAUUACUGGGCGUAAAGCGUGCGUAGGUGGUUUUUUAAGUCCGUUGUGAAAGCCCUGGGCUCAACCUGGGAAUGGCAGUGGAUACUGGAAAGCUAGAGUGCGGUAGAGGGUAGUGGAAUUCCCGGUGUAGCAGUGAAAUGCGUAGAGAUCAGGAGGAACACCCGUGGCGAAGGCGGCCCUCUGGCUCGACCCUGACGCUGAGGCGCGAAAGCGUGGGGAGCGAACGGG
rnacentral:rRNA from 1 species